rnacentral:lncRNA from 1 species
GGUGCAAGGCACGGAGGUGCGCACACGGUGGUGCACAUGGCACGGUGGUGCACGGCACUGCACAGUGCAUGGCGGUGCACAGGAUGAUGGUGCACAUGGCACGGCGGUGCAAGUCACGGAGGUGCACACGGCACGGCGGUGCACGGCGCUGCACAGUGCAUGGUGGUGCAAGGCACGGAGGUGCACACACGGUGGUGCACGGCGCUGCACAUGGCACGGCGGUGCACGGCACUGCACAGUGCAUGGAGGUGCACAUGGCACGGUGGUGCAAGGCACGGCGGUGCACGGUGCUGCACAGUGCAUGGUGGUGCAAGGCACAGAGGUGCACACACGGCAGUGCACAGCACGGUGGUGCACAUGGCACGGUGGUGCAAGGCACGGAGGUGCACAUGGCACGGUGGUGCACACACGGUGGUGCACAGCAUGGUGGUGCACAUGGCACGGUGGUGCACAGCACGGUGGUGCAAGGCACGGAGGUGCGCACACGGUGGUGCACAUGGCACGGUGGUGCACGGCGCUGCACAGUGCAUGGUGGUGCAAGGCACGGAGGUGCGCACACGGUGGUGCACAGCACGGUGGUGCACAUGGCACGGCGGUGCCCGGAGCGGUGCUGGUGCCUGGCGUGGUGCUGGUGUCCAGUUUGCUGGUGAUGGUGCCACUGCCUGGCACGGUGAUUUCCAGUACGGUGAUGCCCGCUGCACCCGCGGUGCCACGGCCCGGCACGGCGAUGCCCGGUGCAUCGGUGGUACCCAGCACGGUGGUGUCCCUGCCCGGUUCAGCGUCGCGGCGCGCCGGUGCCCGUCACCACAGCGGUGCCCCAGCCCGGCACGGUGACACCCAACACCCCUAGUGCCCGAGACGGUGAUAUCCAGCACGCUGAUGCUGGGCACGGAGUUGCCCGGUGCAACGGUGGUGCGUUGGCAGUUCCCGGCACGGCGGUGCCCAGCGCAUCGGCGGUACCCGGUGCAUCAGCGAUGCCCGGUGCGUCGGCGGUACCCGGUGCAUCGGUGGUGCCUGGCACAGGGAUUUCCAGCACGGUAGUGCCCAGUGCAUCGGUGGUACCUGGUGCAUCGGUGGUACCCGGCGCAUCGGUGGUGCCAGGCACGGUGAUUUCCAGCACGGUGGUACCUGGUGCAUCGGUGGUACCUGGUGCAUCGGCAGUACCCAGUGCAUCGGUGGUACGUGGUGCCUUGGCGGUACCCGGUGCAUCGGUGGUGCCAGGCACGGUGAUUUCCAGCACGGUGAUGCCCAGUGCAUCRGUGGUACCCAGUGCAUCGGCGGUGCCAGGCACGGUGGUACCCAGUGCAUUGGUGGUGCCGGGCACGGUGACGCCCGCUGCAUCGGCGGUACCCGCUGCACUGGGCAUCGGCGGUGCCCGCUGCCCGCGACGGUGGUUCCUGGCCC